rnacentral:rRNA from 1 species
CUCAGGACGAACGCUGGCGGCGUGCCUAACACAUGCAAGUCGAACGGAGUUCCUUCGGGGACUUAGUGGCGAACGGGUGAGUAACGCGUGAAGAACCUGCCUUUCAGUGGGGGACAACAGUUGGAAACGACUGCUAAUACCGCAUAAUGUUAUUUGAGGGCAUCCUCGGAUAACCAAAGAUUUAUUGCUGAAAGAUGGCUUCGCGUCUGAUUAGCUAGAUGGCGGGGUAACGGCCCACCAUGGCGACGAUCAGUAGCCGGUCUGAGAGGAUGAACGGCCACAUUGGGACUGAGAUACGGCCCAGACUCCUACGGGAGGCAGCAGUGGGGAAUAUUGGGCAAUGGGCGAAAGCCUGACCCAGCAACGCCGCGUGAAGGAAGAAGGCCCUCGGGUUGUAAACUUCUUUUACCAGGGACGAAUAAUGACGGUACCUGGAGAAAAAGCAACGGCUAACUACGUG